GUUUUAAUAGUUUAAGAUAAAAUAAUGAUCUUGUAAAUCAUAGAUAGGAAAAUAACCUUUAAAACU
rnacentral:tRNA from 1 species